GUGCUCACUUUGGCAGCACAUGUACUAAAAUGGUAACGAUGAAGAGAAGACUAGUAGGGCCCCUGAGCAGGGGUGACCACAGAUUUGUGAAGCAUUCCAUAGUUAA
ensembl:snRNA U6 U6 spliceosomal RNA